AUUGACAAGUGUUAAAUGCAUGUUGAUGCAAAAUCGGUGCAAUUUUUCUCCUAUUUGUAUGGAAACUAAAAUUUUAUGUUCUUGAGAAGGAAAACAACAAUCUUUUAUGUGUUCAGACAUAUAGUUAAAACUAUGGAAACUUCAGCUACUGAGCAAGUCACACUUAAAAAAAUAAUCGAGGGUCCUGCCGAAAUACACCUUGUGUCAGACGGAGUGUUUUAUAACCCGGUACAAGAGUUCAACCGGGACCUCAGUAUAGCAGUGCUGAAUGUAUUUUUAGAUGAAUAUAUUGCUGAAAAAACAGAGCUUUUUAAGAAAAGAAAUAAGAAUAAAAAUGAAGGUGAAGAUAGCCAACCUCAGAUUGAAGUAAACCUGCUAGAAGCUUUAGCGGCCACAGGGUUACGAAGUAUUCGGUACGCUAAAGAGGUGCCCAAGCUCAGCAAGAUAGUAGCCAAUGACCUCAGCAAGACAGCUGUUGAGACUAUGAAAGUCAACUUUGAAAAAAACCUGGUGGCUGAUAAAGUGGAACCAAGUCUAGAUGAUGCUUGCAUGCUAAUGUACAAACACAAGCACCCAUCCUCGCGCUUCGCCGCCAUCGACUUGGACCCGUACGGCUGCCCGUCUCCCUUCUUAGACGCGGCAGUUCAGAGCGUGCAAGAUGGCGGUCUGCUUUUGGUGACGGCGACGGAUAUGGCCGUCCUGGCCGGCAACUCGCCUGAGACAUGCUACAGUAAAUACGGUGCUAUUAGCUUGAAGACGAAAUGCUGCCAUGAGAUGGCGUUAAGAAUACUGCUGCAGUGCAUAGAGUCUCAUGCGAACCGGUACAGCCGCUACAUAGAGCCGCUGCUCAGUAUAUCCGCGGACUUCUACAUACGAGUGUUCGUCAAGGUGCACACUGGAGCUCUGCAAUGCAAACAGACCACUAGCAAGCUAGGUAUGGUGUACCACUGCAAAGGCUGCGACAACAUUACACUGCAACCGCUAGGGGACUUCAAACCCAACCCUACAGAGAAGCGGCCCGAUCAGCAAAAAGCCGUGCUACCACCCGCGCCUACCGUGGGUGCCCACUGUGAGAACUGCAACCAGAGGCACAGUUUAGGAGGCCCAGUGUGGGCAGCGCCGAUCCACAGCGAGCGAUUCGUCACGGACGUCCUGACUCGCGUGGAGACCGACGACACCCUCGCACUGCGCACUAGUAACAGGAUACUCGGCGUACUGUCUAUGGUCCGCGAGGAGCUGCACGACGCGCCCUUCUACCACGCGCUGGACAAGAUGUGCGGCCGCGUGCACGUCACCUGCAUGCCCGCGCUGCUCAUGCGGUCAGUAGCGCACAGUGGCCCCCGGGUGACCCACCCUAGCGCUGCCAUCGCAGCCGGACACUCGGCGUACUGUCUAUGGUCCGCGAGGAGCUGCACGACGCGCCCUUCUACCACGCGCUGGACAAGAUGUGCGGCCGCGUGCACGUCACCUGCAUGCCCGCGCUGCUCAUGCGGUCAGCGAUCCUGAACGCCGGCUACAAGGUGUCGUAUUCACACGCGUCGAAGCUGUCCGUCAAAAGUCCCGCGCCCGCGCCUCUAUUGUGGGACAUUAUCCGUGCCUGGGCGAAGGAACACCCCGUCAACCCCAAGAGAGUGGAAGCUGACCCAAUAGCGAAGCACAUCCUGUCUCAUGAAAUAACGCACACCAUAGACUUCAGCGAGCGGCCCGAUGCUAACCCUUGCAGCAGACGGGAUGGUCGCCUGCGUUUCCAGUUUAACCCUGAACCGCAUUGGGGGCCAGGUUCCCGCGCUGUCAUCAAUACCGGAGACAACAGGAUGGAAAAAGCGAAACGCAACCAAAAUAAAUAUACAAAAGAUAAAGUUGCAAAGCGACAGCAUUCGGAGAGUGAUGAGGAAA